CGUUCAAAUAGGGCGGCACCUUGACGGUACCUAACCAGAAAGCCACGGCUAACUACGUGCCAGCAGCCGCGGUAAUACGUAGGUGGCAAGCGUUGUCCGGAAUUAUUGGGCGUAAAGGGCUCGCAGGCGGUUUCUUAAGUCUGAUGUGAAAGCCCCCGGCUCAACCGGGGAGGGUCAUUGGAAACUGGGGAACUUGAGUGCAGAAGAGGAGAGUGGAAUUCCACGUGUAGCGGUGAAAUGCGUAGAGAUGUGGAGGAAC
rnacentral:rRNA from 1 species